rnacentral:lncRNA from 1 species
AUAGCAUUCAGACGUUGGCCCAACGUCGGCAAUGGUUGGCAGUGUCGCGGUCGGAUUUUAUACGUUGGCCCAACGUUGUUACAACGUUAGGUCGCAUUUCGGAAAUUAUUUCCAAGGGGCGCUACUCGUAAUUGACAACUUCACAGAGAGGGCGCUGCGUUUUUUGCGCUUCCAACGAGCAGACGACGAGACACAAGCACACGUUCGAUCAUCGGAAUACCGUUUUCCUCGAAUAUAAAGAGGUGGAGUUUACAGUAUUGUGGAAGCAUAUUUGUUUACAUCACAUCACAGCCAGAAAGUUACCAAGGCACACAGAGAGACCGUGGAUACAGUUGAAGAUCAUCCCUGUGAUAAGUUCUUCUGACAUCUGAGGAUUGAAAAGGCUCCUCAACCACUCAGCCCAAGUUCUGAUUUGUCAUGUAACAAAUAAAUAAAGGUCACCGAAACCAGAAUUCUAUUGUCAUUUUGUUGCUGUUAUCAUAUUUUUUAAUAGAUCAAGUAUAUUGAUCAUAGGACAUCCGAUGCAUGGACGAUUUUGCUUGUCUCAGUGUUGCCCUAAUGCUGAAUGUAUGGGGUAAGGCCAAGAAAAAUUAAACGUUUCAAUUUGUGGCAGGCUUAUUGUCUGAUGGUUUUUAAUUUGCAAACUUGUGUGAAAAUCAUUUA